AGGUGGAGAGAAUUAAUUGGCAAGUUUUUUAAUACAGUAGUAUUAUGAAGUUGUUUUUUAUUUAUUUAUUUAUUUAUUUAUUAUUAUUAUUAUUUGUAAUAUUUUGGUGUUAAGUAUAAAGACAAUUACGUACAGACACUUUUAGAUGCAAACAAAUACACUGAGCACUUUUUUUUUUCUCUAAGUCACAAAUGAUGUCUGUCACUCUCAUUGCUGAACAACUUGAGUCUUUGUUAAGUAAGUUGUGGUUGUUGUCCAGUUUUCAAAAUACCGGACUGCUGUUUGGGGUUUUUAACACCUUGCUAGACCUUUCAGAUAUAAAUUUCGCUGCUCUCGUUCUCUCUUUCCUCAAUAUCUCUCUACGACCUUCGAGUCCAUCCCUCUCGCUCUCUGGAGUAGGCUUCUCAAGCCGCAACCGCUAAUGAUAGCCUAUGGCACACAAAGGUGAAAUUGGUACAGCAGGGGAUGGAGAACGGUUGUACAUGAAAGAUGACCAUAUAUGGACAUUUGCUACUGCUGGCUUGGUAAAUACACUUGUAAAGAAGUUCGUAACUGUUAAAGUAAAGAAGGGGAACAAAGAUUUAUUAUGUGAUGAUAUGUCGGCACUAGUUUGUCACCUUGCUGGCUCAAGAUGUCAAGAUGAAAGAUUGAUAUUUAAAGGAGCUCAGGCAAGAUGUGAUCUUGUAUAAAGGUGAGUUGGUUGGAGAAGAAUGGGAGGUGAAUGAGGAGGAGUCCAGUGAUGACUCAGAAGAAGAGCAUUGAUUAAUUGUUGAGCCGCAGCUCCAGAUACACCGCGAAAGAGCUACAAGAAGACGAUUUGCACAGUCUCAUGAGAUUAGGACUAAUGAGAGUAAGUCCCAGUGCACCAGCCCCUGAGGUCUAGAAGAAGAGAAAAAGCCUUCCCCCUAGAAGAGGAUGUUGAUUUUUUCGAUGUAAUUUUCUAAACUUUUGAUGGUGGAGAGUCGAUGUAAAUUUAUAAAUAUGAAUCAAAAUUUUG